UACCAUGGUUUUAACGGGUAACGGGGAAUUAGGGUUCGAUUCCGGAGAGGGAGCCUGAGAAACGGCUACCACAUCCAAGGAAGGCAGCAGGCGCGCAAAUUACCCAAUCCCAAUACGGGGAGGUAGUGACAAUAAAUAACAAUAUGGGGCUCUUAUGGGUCUCGUAAUUGGAAUGAGUACAAUUUAAAUCUCUUAACGAGGAACAAUUGGAGGGCAAGUCUGGUGCCAGCAGCCGCGGUAAUUCCAGCUCCAAUAGCGUAUAUUAAAGUUGUUGCAGUUAAAAAGCUCGUAGUUGAAUUUCGGAGUUUGUCGGUUGGUCGGGCUUCAUUGUCCACACUGACCUGAUGGAUUCCUACCUUCUGAAUAACCAGCAUGCUAUUAAGUUAGUGCGUUGGGGAAGCAGAGCUAUUACCUUGAAAAAAUUAGAGUGCUUAAAGCAGGCUUAUGCUUGAAUAGAUUAGCAUGGAAUAAUAAAAUAGGGCGGCAUGGUUCUAUUUUGUUGGUUUCUAGGAUCACCGUAAUGAUUAAUAGGGAUAGUUGGGGGCAUUAGUAUUCAAUUGUCAGAGGUGAAAUUCUUGGAUUUAUUGAAGACUAACUUCUGCGAAAGCAUUUGCCAAGGAUGUUUUCAUUAAUCAAGAACGAAAGUUAGGGGAUCGAAGACGAUCAGAUACCGUCGUAGUCUUAACCAUAAACUAUGCGGACUAGGAAUUGGACGAUGUUAAUUUUUUAAUGACUCGUUCGGCGCCUUACGGGAAACCAAAGUGUUU
rnacentral:rRNA from 1 species